rnacentral:rRNA from 1 species
GACGAACGCUGGCGGCGUGCUUAACACAUGCAGGUCGAACGGAAAGGCCUGCUUUCCCUUGUGGAUUGCGGGUACUCGAGUGGCGAACGGGUGAGUAACACGUGAGUGAUCUGCCCCCAACUUGGGUAUAAGCCUGGGAAACUGGGUCUAAUUCCCGAUAGGACUGCAGGGUGGUGCCUGUGGUGGAAAACGAUUUUCUAGUGGUUGGGGAUGAGCUCGCGGCCUAUCAGCUUGUUGGUGGGGUAAUGGCCUACCAAGGCGGCGACGGGUAGCCGGCCUGAGAGGGUGGACGGCCACACUGGGACUGAGAUACGGCCCAGACUCCUACGGGAGGCAGCAGUGGGGAAUAUUGCACAAUGGGCGGAAACCUGAUGCAGCGACGCCGCGUGGGGGAUGACGGCCUUCGGGUUGUAAACUCCUUUCGACCGCGAGGAAGCCACCUGGUUGGAAGGGUGGUGACGGUAGUGGUAGAAGAAGCACCGGCUAACUACGUG